rnacentral:rRNA from 1 species
CCUACGGGAGGCUGCAGUGGGGAAUAUUGCACAAUGAGCGCAAGCCUGAUGCAGCCAUGCCGCGUGUGUGAAGAAGGCCUUCGGGUUGUAAAGCACUUUCAGCGGGGAGGAAGGCGUUAAGGUUAAUAACCUUGUCGAUUGACGUUACCCGCAGAAGAAGCACCGGCUAACUCCGUGCCAGCAGCCGCGGUAAUACGGAGGGUGCAAGCGUUAAUCGGAAUUACUGGGCGUAAAGCGCACGCAGGCGGUCUGUCAAGUCGGAUGUGAAAUCCCCGGGCUCAACCUGGGAACUGCAUUCGAAACUGGCAGGCUAGAGUGCUGUAGAGGGGGGUAGAAUUCCAGGUGUAGCGGUGAAAUGCGUAGAGAUCUGGAGGAAUACCGGUGGCGAAGGCGGCCCCCUGGACAAAGACUGACGCUCAGGUGCGAAAGCGUGGGGAGCAAACAGGAUUAGAUACCCCAGUAGUC